rnacentral:rRNA from 1 species
GUUCGGACUUCUGCAUGGACGAAGUCUGACGGAGCAACGCCGCGUGAGUGAUGAAGGUUUUCGGAUCGUAAAACUCUGUUGUUAGGGAAGAACAAGUACCGUUCGAACAGGGCGGUGCCUUGACGGUACCUAACCAGAAAGCCACGGCUAACUACGUGCCAGCAGCCGCGGUAAUACGUAGGUGGCAAGCGUUGUCCGGAAUUAUUGGGCGUAAAGCGCGCGCAGGCGGUUUCUUAAGUCUGAUGUGAAAGCCCCCGGCUCAACCGGGGAGGGUCAUUGGAAACUGGGGAACUUGAGUGCAGAAGAGGAGAGUGGAAUUCCACGUGUAGCGGUGAAAUGCGUAGAGAUGUGGAGGAACACCAGUGGCGAAGGCGACUCUCUGGUCUGUAACUGACGCUGAGGCGCGAAAGCGUGGGGAGCGAACAGGAUUAGAUACCCUGGUAGUCCACGCCGUAAACGAUGAGUGCUAAGUGUUAGAGGGUUUCCGCCCUUUAGUGCUGCAGCAAACGCAUUAAGCACUCCGCCUGGGGAGUACGGUCGCAAGACUGAAACUCAAAGGAAUUGACGGGGGCCCGCACAAGCGGUGGAGCAUGUGGUUUAAUUCGAAGCAACGCGAAGAACCUUACCAGGUCUUGACAUCCUCUGACACCCCUAGAGAUAGGGCUUCCCCUUCGGGGGCAGAGUGACAGGUGGUGCAUGGUUGUCGUCAGCUCGUGUCGUGAGAUGUUGGGUUAAGUCCCGCAACGAGCGCAACCCUUGAUCUUAGUUGCCAGCAUUCAGUUGGGCACUCUAAGUGACUGCCGGUGACAAACCCGGAGGA